rnacentral:lncRNA from 1 species
UGUGACUCCAGGCAGGGCUGAGACCCCCUGAACUGGGGAGGGCAGCCAGGGGUACCUGGAGCAGCCCCCAGGGCGUCUCAGUCUGCCCAUCACCACUGCCCGGAGCCAGCUUCCUCCGGCUCUCUGGCCCCCACUCCUCACCUGCAUCUACAGGCCACCCCCACCCCCAAGGCAGGAGCUCUUCCCACACCCGGUGGCAGCUUCCACCAUCCUGCCCUCCUCUCCCACCGGAAGUGCCUGCGACAGUGUGGUUGGUGCCAAGUUGUUUAUCUCUGCCGCGUGGUGACCUCACGAUACCUGGUGUGCGCCUGGUCUCCCCAGCAGCACUGUGAGCUCUUUAGGGACUGUGACAACCAGGAACACUGUCAGUUGCCAGUGAUAGAAUGCCCAACUAAAGCUCCUGUAAUGAAGACACUUAUUAUCCCAUACAACAGGAAGCCUGGCAGGCAGAGAUCUUCCAGAUUAUGUUAAUUUAGUGGCUCAACAAAAUCAAGGCUUUGGGUCCACUUCCCUGGCACUCUUUUGGCUUUACCCAGCAUGCUCAUCAGAAGGCUGCAACAGAGCUCACACAAGAACAUCCAAAGAUGGGAAGGAGCCCUUGUGUCCCUUGUCCUGAGAGCCAAAUGCUCCCCUGAGAUAUUGUGAUGUAGAAGAAGAAAUAUUUGUUUGGUCUUUGUCCUUGUUCCUGGCACAGAGCUCCAAAAGCCUUUGGAAUUUCCCAAAUGAUGAGAGGCAUCAAGGUGAAAGGAACAUCUUUUGUUAUUCAUAAUGAGGCCAUUUUGACCACACCUGACUUUCCGUUAAUGAAGUGUUUUUGGAAAGCCCCUAGAAACCCAACUGUAGGGAAGGGGGUGGGGGGCUAGUAGUCAGGGGAGAAACCCUGUGACUACAGGGUGGCGACUUUCAGUCCCACCCCUCAACCUCCGCAGAGGGAGAGGAGCUGAAGAUUGGGUUCAAUCACCAACGGUCAAUGGUUUAAUCAAUUGUGCCUAUAUGAUGAAGCCUCCAUUAAAAAAAAAAAACAACAACAAACCCUAACUGAAGGGGUUCAGAGAGCUUCUGGUUGGUGAACACAUAGAGGUGCCAGGAGGGUGACACCCACAGAGAGGGCCCCUUCCCCCAUAGCUCGCCCUACGCAUUUCUUCCAUCCGGCUCUUUCUGAGUUGUAUCCUUUUACAUUAAAC